AAACAAGCACAAACAUGAAAACUAUGCACUCUGUGGAUAGAAGGAAGACCAGCUUCCCUAUGCCACACUAAAAUUUGCUAAAAUGAAAUAAAACUAGACAGAAAGAAAAGGGUAAGUUUGUUUUCCCCAACAACAGUAGUUGGCAAGCCAUCUCCUGUCUUAACUCCUGAGCUUUCCUACCGUGUUUUGACCACCACCACAUAGGACAAGGUGGGGGAGUGAGUGGCUGGCUGUUAGCCAAGGCUGAGCCCCCACACCUCCCAGCACUGAUACAGAAACAUCCCAAAAGGUGAACAGCUGAGUAGAGAUGGUGCUUCUUCACGACCUGGUCAGUCACAAAUGUCCCUUCAGAAAAGGCCUGAGCCAUUUAUCUCUGUGACUCAGCCACCCUUUUGGCAAGGCAGUGUGUUUUGCUGAAUCAGCAGACAGGUGAACAAAGGAAAAGCAGAAAAGCAGUUUGGUUCUGGUUGGCACCCUGAGAGGUGCAGAAAUGGGCCAGGCAACCAGCAGUGCCAGCAAUGGGGAAGGGAUGGGCAAGAGCAAGGCUUGUGCCUCUUCAGGCACAGUGAAUUUUUAGACUUCCUCAGCUCCAAAUCCAUCUGCAGUGUCAGGUGCCUUGCCCCAAAAGAUACUUAAAACAACAGCUUAAAGAGGAAACUACAUCUGCAGGCCAAACAAAUGAGCCUUGGUUUCUCAUA